rnacentral:rRNA from 1 species
CGUAGGUAACCUGCCUCUUAGCGGGGGGUAACUAUUGGAAACGAUAGCUAAUACCGCAUAAAAGUCGAUAUCGCAUGAUAUUGAUUUGAAAGGUGCAAUUGCAUCACUAAGAGAUGGACCUGCGUUGUAUUAGCUAGUUGGUGAGGUAACGGCUCACCAAGGCGACGAUACAUAGCCGACCUGAGAGGGUGAUCGGCCACACUGGGACUGAGACACGGCCCGG